UUAUGUUAGGUAGCAUACAAUGUUUCCGUUAGGUAUAUAGGUAAGUAUAUAAAUACGUGAGGGUUCAGAAGAGAAUCAGAAGUGUUGGAGGUUUCGAGUUACGAGUACUGGUACUGGGCAUUAUUCGAAAUGAAGGUUACACUGCUGCUUCUUCUGGUGGUCGUCGCGAUGACAACAUCUCGGCACGUGGAAUCAACCUACCAAUAUUGCGGUAAAAGACUGCAGACAGUGCUUUCGUUCCUCUGUCCAGACUUAACCGAGUUUCCAAUUGAUGAUACUAUUCCGGCGAGUGAGAAUCUAAACGCAACUGAGAAGAGUAAGCGAGAUUACCGACUCACAAUAGCCAGAGAAUGCUGCGAAAACUCUUGCGAGUUGAGAAUUUUAGAAUCUUAUUGCUUGUCAGACAAAAAUGAUGAUUAAAACAUUUUCCACUCCAACGCAAAUUGAGAUAGCGUGGGCUUAUUGGAAAAUAUGUUUUUUUUUAUUAUUUCUUUGGAUCUUACUUUGUGUUUGUUACCUAUCAUUUGGGAUUUAUGUAGAUAGGUAUAUCAAAAAAAACUUUGACGAAAUUUCACAUUUUUGACCUUAUAAAAAAAAUCUUUUGAAUAAUUAAUAAACAUUAGUUAAGUAGUGAUAGCAGUAGUAGUAGUAGAAGUAGUAGUAGUAGAAGUAGUAGUAGUAGUACUACUAGUAGUAGUAGUAGUAGUAGUAGUAGUAGUAGUAGUAGUAGUAGAUACGUUGUAAAAUGAUGUUUUAAUUUCUUCUGAAUAAAGCGUUUUUUUACGUA